rnacentral:rRNA from 1 species
GACGAACGCUUUCUUCUUUCUUAACACCUGCAAGUCGAACGGAAAGGCCCCUUCGGGGGUACUCGAGUGGCGAACGGGUGAGUAACACGUGAGUAACCUGCCCUUGACUUCGGGAUAACUUCAGGAAACUGGGGCUAAUACCGGAUAGGAAUCCUUGCUGCAUGGUGGGGGUUGGAAAGCUUCGGCGGUUUUGGAUGGACUCGCGGCUUAUCAGCUUGUUGGUGGGGUAGUGGCUUACCAAGGCUUUGACGUUGCGCCGGCCUGAGAGGGCGACCGGCCACAUUGGGACUGAGAUACGGCCCAGACUCCUACGGGAGGCAGCAGUGGGGAAUAUUGCACAAUGGGCGGAAGCCUGAUGCAGCAACGCCGCGUGCGGGAUGAAGGACGUCGGGUUGUAAACCGCUUUCAGCAGGGGCGAAGCUUGUGGUGACGGUACCUGCAGAAGAAGCAACGGCUAACUACGGG